GACAGCAACAUUGUUGAGGCACCGGAAGUGCGGCUUAUAAUCCGUGCGGCUUGUAUUCGUGAAACUACUGUAAUUUUGGAUGUUUUGUGUGAAAGCUUACUGUUUCUUGAGAAUCAUAUGGAAAUUUUACUAAUCAGGCCUGGGUGGGGUGGGAGGAGUGGGAAGAAUAGAAUACUGACAUUUUUCUAUUAACUCAUCAUGAAAUAAACUUAAACAGCCUGUGCCUUGAAUGCAUUGUGUGUGAAGAAAACUAUGAAAAAUAAACUUAAUUAUAUGUAGCCUAACUGUAAACAAAAUAAUAUUCCAACAAUACACACUGUGCUUUUAAGGCCUUACACGAUUUAACAGUUCUGCUUGUUUUUUGUGAUUGUGACUAUUGUAUACUUAAAUGUAGCUUUGAGUAUUGUGAAAAUAUGGUUAAGGUGUGUUGAUUAACAGUAAACAAUAUUCCACAAACUUGCAGUUCUUCCUUUUUCUUUUUAUUCAAAGAAAUAGCAGCAGUUGCUUACAGUAUCAAAAUACUUAACAAUUCCCCAUUUGUUUAAGGAAAUCUCACAUCUAAAGCAAUAACUCACUGUUCUGAAUUGCCAGCACAUUUCUUUAUCAGCAGCCCCUGUUCUGAUCACCCUCCCACUUCCAUGCCUCACCUUUCUACCAUUUGCCAUUCAGCACACAGGCUUUCUGCUGCAAAGCUGCUUGUAAACUUUUCUUCUGUAAUUUAUUCUACUAUUCCCUUCUUUGAAAUUAAAAGGAAUUUUUGCCUUGUGCACUUUGACGAAUUAAUUGAGUAUUAAAAAUUUUUGUUCUCAAGCACCUAGGUUCCUGUUUGAUUUGUUUUGAUCAAGGAUGCUUCCGUGAAUUCUGAAAUUCAGAGCAUAUUCAGAAACAGCAACAUUAGACUUAAGGGUUUCCAUCCUAGUUUGAGACUUUUGGAUACAGUUACAUAACUCAGCUUUAUAACAUUGUAUUUAAUACAUAGUUUGAUUUCCUUUUCUUACUGCCUUCUAGCUGCUAUCUGAGAUGCAAAUCUUUACCAUUAAACGUUUAAGUGCUUUCUUUGUGAUGAAUGAAGCUUGUUCUGAGAUUCACUUUCAGGAAUUCACAAAUAAAGAGUGUAGAAGUGCAAUGUUAAGUGAUGCUUAUUGGCUGUGGUUGGUUGCCUGCCCAUCGCAGGCAAGUGAUCAACUGUCAUCACAAGAACUAUCUGAUUGUACUGGGGAUAUUAUGGCACCCUGCAAUUGAAAAAAAGAAAAGGUGUCAUAGCAUUUGAUUCUGUGUUUUGUUGAAGCAGACAAACGAUCUGACUAACAGUGUUUUGUCUUCUGUAUGUGCAGCUGUGCUGGAUUGCACUGGUGAGUAGGGAUUCUGGUCUAUUCAUGCAUGGUUAAUUAUUGCCAGUUUGUGCUAAUUUAUGUUUUAUACCUGUGGUUUUUUUCAGGUGAAUUAUAUACAUGAAGAAAUUGAAAUUGUUUUUAGACAUAGCCUAGCCUGUAGUGCAGAUUGUAUUAUGGCAGCAAACUUGUUAUUUGACAGAAAGCAACUGAGCUGUUGCAACGAUGAGGAAAACAUUUGACAUCCUGAUUGUCUUAUCCUUAUACCAUCGUUUUGGUAAAAUUGACAAUGAGCUGUUGUUUAAUGUUACAUAUGCAAUUGUCUUCUGAUCAAUAAAGUUGAUUCAGCAUUCAUUGAAAAGACAAUGCCUGUGUUUUAGGGAAAAACAAAAGAGUGGAUUGUAAGCCUUGUGGUGUUAUUCCUUGUUAGUUUUUUUUGCUUUAAGUAUUUUACAGUAAGCUAUGUUUUUCGGUUCUGGAAGCCUUGACAAAUCAGUUUUCAAAACGACUUCAAUUAUGUAAAAUAUGUGAUUAUAUUCUAAGGGUGGCAUCUAUUUGCAACAAUGUUUUACUUUUACAGUCACAGCUCUAUAAAACUCCCUUCUCUUUGCUGUCCACUUCUGGUAGAAAAGAAUUCUAGUAUAUGUUCAGGUAGCUACUCUUAUUGAUUGAUUUUAAACUUGCUUUCUUUUUCAAGAUUUUUUUUUAAUUGGGGGGAAAAUAUGCAUGUUUAUUUUUGGGCUUGUUUAAUUGGGUGACAUUGGACAACAAGGUGCUACUUGUAUGGAAUAUUCCAGGUCCUACAGAUACUAAUUUUUCUCACUAUACUGUAGGCAUUGUUAAUAUCUUAAAGUCAGAAAUAAGGAAAAUAAUGUGUAAGUAGGGGGCUGAUUGGUUGAAAACUUUGCAGAAAAGGAGUUGGGGACUCUGCUGAGACAGGCUGCACGUGAGCCUGCAAUGCACCCUUAUGCCAAAAGCGAGCAUGAGCAUUCCAGGUCUCAUAGGCAGAGAUUUACCAGCAGGACAUGGAAAGUGAUCCUAGCCCUCUUCUCUGCACUAUGAAUGAAAUGCUGGGUCUAGCUCGGGUCUUUUUCAUGAGGAAGAUAUGGAUGUACUGAACGAAGUUUACUGCAGGCCCACAGCUAUGACUGAAAGACUGGUGAUCAAGCGCAGGAAGAGAUGCUAAGAGAGCUGGGGCUGUUCAUCCUGGGGAAGAAAAGGUUUGGCAGGAUACUAAGUGUUGUGUGUGAAUAUCUGAGACAGGGUGUGGAGAGAGCUGGACAACUGGAACAUUUGCCCUGUACUGCCUUCUGAGAGGGCAGGAGUCAGUGAUGACACACUGAAAAACAGAAAAUAUUAUCUGAAAUUAGAAGGCUUUUUUGGUUUUUUGUGAAGUAAAUCAAACACUGGGACUGACUAUAGAAUUUUCAUCUUUACAGACAGUCAGAAUUCAGCUGAGCAUGGCUUUGGGCAGCCUGCUGUAACUGACCCUUCUCUGAGCACAGAAGUAGAUAAUCUCAAGGGGUUCCUUACACCUCUGUCAUUCUGCAUGCACGAGCUCAGAAGUGGAGACUGUUUAUUUUUUAAAAUUAUCUUCAUUGUUGUUCCUUAUUUUUGAUUGCAACAGAAGAUCCCUUUUUCUCUGUCCUGAGACCAUCACUGGUUGAUGCGCUGCUGCUAAGUCAGACUAGUACCAACUUUUAUAUGACAGUGACAUAGACAGUGUCAUCAAAGAUCACAGAUUGCUACAGUGUACUAUAAAAGAAAGGUUGAAAAACUAGAAGCAGCAUAUAAGCAUGCUAUCCUGAAAAGAGAAAAAGUGCUUGAGAUAUGGUUGUUUUGGGUAGUUUCAAUAAAAUUGGGUAAUAAAGUUGGUUCUGCUUCACCUGAUUAGUGUUUGUAAAACAGAAAUUAAAAAUUGUUUCUGGGUAAGUUUGUCAUGAGCUAGUAACUAUGUCAGGCUUGCUCACCAUUACUUAAAUAGUUCAGGUAACUCUAAUUGUUAAAAGUUAGUGUGAAAACCUAUUCAGCUUGAGUACCAAAAUCAUUCUGAUUUUGCCCAAAAUAUUUCCAAAAAAGUCUGCUAGGUCUAUUUGGUAGAUGCUGCACACUCUUCAAAACAGGAAAGGAACUCUCUGGUCUCUGGUUUAAAACAGCCUCCCAGGAUGGUGCUGUUUUGUUAUGUUGAUUGAAGUGGUUUAAUUCAUUAGAAAAACAUUCACAAAAGAUUUUGAUGGUAAAAUCUAAGUGCUGAUGAGACAUUGCAGUUUUCAGACCUUUCUUCUUCUCAAGAUGAUACUAGUUAAAUACAUAUUUCUUUAUUUUGUAUUUGCACUAGUGUAUCAUAGUGUGCUGCAUAGAGAAAAGCGAAGUAAUGCAUGCCUUACUUACCAGAAUUGUUUGUGUUGUAUCAGAAUUAUUUUUGUGUUGUAGUACCAUUUAUAGUUAGCAACAAGCUUUAAUGAAAAUUUCUUCCUGUCAGAGAUUUUGGGGCCUCCAAAGUGGUGGAACACAAACUACAUGCUUGGAGCCAGAACAGGAGGGUAGAUAAAAAUUGCAGACUUGAAAAAAUGUAUGAGUUCCUAUUCUGCUGUGUUUGUAGAGCCCAGCACUGUCUGAGUUUGCCCAUCAUAGCAGGUGUGUAACAGAUACCCUGUAAUUUUAUUACUUAGGAUAGGAUUCUGAAACAGAAAGAAUUUGUUUUUAAGACAACCUGAAGGAGAAGGCUCUGGAAUGAGCUGUCUUCCUUUAUAGAUCCAGCCAAGUGCUUUCCACCAAUAAGCAAUGGAUAUAAGUAGAUGUAAGUGAAAAGGUAAGUUUACUGACAACGGGGACUGCAACAGUCAAGAAAUUACAGGAAAAGAAAAAAAAACAAAAAACCGAGAUGCAAAACUGCUAAACCUCACGGACUCCACAGAACAGAGAGACCCAAAAUGCCGGGAGAGCCCCCCAGGAUAACGCUCCACAGCCAAGCGCGUGGUUCGAAGGACAAAGGGAGAGGUGGUGCCAGUCUUCCCCCACCAUCCUCGUGCACUCGGCUGUCUCCAGCUUUGGCUCCCCGGCUGGAGUUCAUGUAGAUCAAAGGCUGGAAAACUGCAGAAGGACUCCCCCUUUCUUUCGGCAGGAGCAGUGAAGGCAAGGUGUAUGGGCUCGAGCGACUUCUCUCCUGGAGCGGGGACCGAUGGAUCUGGACCAGCUUGCAGGAGCGGGGCCGCCCCCACCCGAUGCGGCAAUACAGGCGGCGCGGGUGGCAUUCGCCUCCUGGCACCUCGAAACUGCCAGCUGCAGACUCUCCAAAACGAGAGGAAAAAGCUGAACGAGAAUCCCAAAAAGAAGCGGCUCUGCUUGGGCAGAGACCAGGAAGUCAGCGAGCCAAAACCCACAUGGCAAGAGGGGAUGAACUGCUUGUGAAAACCGACUUUAAAAGCACUUAGUAGCACCCCCUGCCCCAGCUUCUCGGCUUCAGGGUCAGAGAGACCCCGUAGAGGAGCAAUUUUGGGCACAAAUAGACACGGAAUACAGCAACAUUUUGGGUUACCGAUGGCAAAUUGAGUAAUCUAGCAUGGUACGUAGGAUGGUACGUAGACUGUAUUUUAUGUCCUUCUUUGUAAUCACAAAGUCUUCAGGGUCCUGUUUCAAGGAAAAGGUGAGAUUCACUUGUCAGUAAUUAGAGCUCUUCAGAGACAUAUGAUAUCACAAGGCAUGAUAAAACCACAAGGACUGGCAAUUCUGAAUAUGCAGUCCAGAAGCAACUCGAGUUAUGCAGCUGUUCUGAGUCCCACUGUCUCUGUGGCAUGUGAAGAUGGGGCCAUAAGAAUGUGCAUGUUUAAUGGAUUUGGUGAACAGUUCUGCUGCUAUCUUGCCCAACUAUGCUUCAGUAGAUUUCAUGAUUUUUCGUGGUAGAGGAAGUGCUCCCUCAUUAAUCAUUUAGUUGUCCUAUGGUAUGUCUUGUUUGGAAUGUAGUGCACUCUUGGCGUGCACUAAGAGACUGCAUUACUGAAAAUAUGUGCUCAUGCUUUCAAGUAAUCUGAUAAAAAGAGACACAGUAUGUAUUAUCUAUAGAAAAAAUAGUGCAUAAAUAUAUAAUCUAACCAUUGCUAUAUUUUAUGGAGCAGUAUUUCUACAUACACAUUUAUUACCUUUUGAGACCAUUAGUGUAGAAUUGGAUAUAAUAUAGGAUAUUAUGGGAUGCAGAUGCUGAUACUGUUUUUGUGAUAGAAUAUUUUUUAAAAUAUCCUAUUAGAAGAAACCAUGGCUCCAAAGCAUUUAGAUUUUUUUAGCAUAGUUAAAGCAGUGUAACCAGGUACUAGCAAAUAUUUUCAGAACUAGUUUAAAUGGUCAUCUUUAACUUGUUUGUAAAGUUUUCUGAUAUUUACUAUAAUACUUUGAUGUGAUAUUUUUGACCAAAAGAAAAGUUGCAUAUACGUUGACAAUUCCGGUACUGAUCCUUUCUUUUAACUUCAGUAAAUUUCUAGGAGGAAGAAAACAUUAAGUGUCAUGGGUAUCUACAUUGCUUUUUUUUGACUACACUUUACUGUGACUGAUAAUUUCAUGUGCCACUGUGAGUCUUGAAACACCUAGGUUAAUGAUUUUUUGAAAAGUGCAGCAGCAGAGAAGCAACUAAUUUAAUAAUGUCAGACUUCAAAGGCUCUUGAUCAUUAAGUUGUAGGUUGCCAUAUUGCUCAUUGUGAUGUUUUCUCCUGUAAAAAUACUCAAAUUGCACCAAUUACCACCUCCUGAUGUGGCCAGUCUUCCCUUGAGUUUAGAUUGUUCCUUAGCUUCAAACACCCAUUUCUUCCUGCAGGCUCUUUGCUGUCCCUUGCACUCUUGUCUAGCUGCCCCUAGCUGUCCUAGUCUCAGUGCUUCCCAAGCCCAUCUCAGAAAUCUUCCAGCCUGCACCCAGGAGUGGGUGAGGGUCCAUGGACUGCGCACCACAUUCUGCAUUUCAGUGGCACAGAGAAGGGACUUGCUACAGCAAAUGUUCAGAUAUUCCUGAUUUCGUAAGGGAGGUUGGCUGCCAAGUAGCUGGAAGGCCAGAGGAAACAGAACACUACACAAGCAUGUGUCUGCUUCUAAGUAUUUAUCUUCCAUCUUGUUGUGGGAAAAGAAAAUAGCAGGAAAGGGAGGAUGUGGAAAACAGGACAUUCCACUGGGGAAAAAGGAAAAAGGUUAAGGUAAAUGUUUGGCUUGGUGAAGGCACAGAGAUGGAUUUGCAGAUCAGAUGAGAGGAGUUUGUGGUUAGGAAAGUGGACAGCAAAACCAACAGAAUGAGACAGAAAAAGGGUAGAUGUUAGGAGAAUUGAAAGAUUUUGACAGAACUAGGCAAAAUGUGGAAAAGGAAAAAUGAGAAGAAAAUACAAAAGGAGGUUAAAGCUUUUGUCUUUUCAAAAUAAAAUAUUUUUUGAAAGAAAAAUGUAACUAAUCCAAAUGGGAGUGGAGCAAUUAGUGGAUGGAGAAGUGCCAAAUAUAAUGAAAAAUAGGGAGAGAAAGAAGGAAAAUGUAAAAAUUAGAGGAAGUGGAAAAGGGGAGGGGAUACACCCUACAUUACUUCUAUUUUUCCAAUUCCUUUGUUUUAUCAUACAUCCUUGGGACAUCUGUUUAUUGUGAUAAAAGAAUUUAUGUCUAACAAUGGCAUAUCCUCUGCUAUUACUCACUGAUACUGUUACUGUACCAGAGCUAGACCGGUGACCUCCAAAAGUUUUUUUCAUUGUGCAAUAAGACCUUUUUGAACAUGCACCCACAACGGAGGCAUAUAUAUUUGUUUGUAAGUUGUAUACAUGUACAAUUCUAAUAAUGUAUUAUGCACAUUAUAAAAAAUUACCAAAAUAGGAAUUAAAACAAUGUGAGAUAAAGAGGAAAUAAACACAAUUUUGAAAAUUUUAA